UGUGUAAACCGCUUAUAAAUACUCGCUCGAUCACUCAUCUCUUCUUCCUUGAGAAAUCAAAAAUUUCUGCACGCUCCUUCUUCUUCUUCCACACGGAAAAGAAAACCCUAGCGUUUUCAAGUUCUCUGUUUUUAUAUAGAGGAUCGCCGAUGAUCCUUUCUGAUAUAGAGGUAAGUCGAUGAUCUCUUCUAAAAAUUCACUCUUC